rnacentral:rRNA from 1 species
UACGUAGGUGGCAAGCGUUGUCCGGAUUUAUUGGGUUUAAAGGGUGCGUAGGCGGCCCUGUAAGUCAGUGGUGAAAUACUCCAGCUUAACUGGAGGGGUGCCAUUGAUACUGCAGGGCUUGAGUGGAGUCGAAGUAGGCGGAAUUGACGGUGUAGCGGUGAAAUGCUUAGAUAUCGUCAAGAACACCGAUAGUGAAGACAGUCUACUAGGCUUCUACUGACGCUGAGGCACGAAAGUGUGGGGAUCAAACAGG